UAGGGAAUCUUCCGCAAUGGACGCAAGUCUGACGGAGCAACGCCGCGUGAGUGAAGAAGGAUUUCGGUUCGUAAAACUCUGUUGUUAGAGAAGAACAGCGCAUAGAGUAACUGUUAUGCGUGUGACGGUAUCUAACCAGAAAGCCACGGCUAACUACGUGCCAGCAGCCGCGGUAAUACGUAGGUGGCAAGCGUUGUCCGGAUUUAUUGGGCGUAAAGCGAGCGCAGGCGGUCAAUUAAGUCUGAUGUGAAAGGCCCCGGCUCAACCGGGGAGGGUCAUUGGAAACUGGUUGACUUGAGUGCAGAAGAGGAGGGUGGGAUUGCAUGUGUAGCGGUGAAAUGCGUAGAUAUAUGGAGAAACACCAAUGGCGAAGGCGACUCUCAGGUCUGUAAAUGACGCUGUGGUACGAAAGCGUGGGUAGCAAACAGG
rnacentral:rRNA from 1 species